rnacentral:rRNA from 1 species
GUUAACUCUGUGUAGUCGGCCGCGUGAAGAAGGAGGGGUCAAGGGUUAGGCGGAAUGAGUGGGCUUAAAGCGAGCGUAGGGGGGGGCUUAAGUUCCUUGUGAAAGCCCACGGGUUAACCGUGGAAGUGCAUUGUAGACUGGGUGUCUUGAGCUAGCAAGGGGGAACUGGAACACAAGGUGGAGCGGUGAAAUGCGUAGAUAUAGGUUGGAACGCCAAUGGUGAAAACAGGUUGCUGGGGAUAUGCUGACGCUGAGACACGAAAGCGUGGGGAGCAAACGGGAUUAGAUACCCCUGUAGUC